UUAACACCUUGGGAGCUCUCUGAGCUGGCACACUGUCCAACACACUCCUGGACGUGCCACACACACAGGAGGAGCAGGGAGAGGACUUUUCGGAACUUAUCUAGAGUGGAUCCUUGGACUAUAGCUGGUCCAGGAUGAACUUUGCCGCCCAGUUCAUCUACGCCAACUACGCUGGUGAUGGAUCGCCCAGGAGAGUGGGAUUCAACGACAGUGAGAAUGACCCCUUCUGGCAGAGCGAGGAGCAGCGUCUUGGGCCAACCAAACAGGGCUGCUCCACCUCCUCCAAGAGUACCUGCAACAAGGACGCCCCCGUCUGUAACGGGGUUGCGGGCUGGCGGCCCACCCUUAUCCACCCAGAGCGCCUGAAGGACUUUGGUAUUGAGGAGGAGGAGUGCCUCAAUGGGAAAGUCAAAACGUUUGAGACCAAGGUGGUGGGCGCCCCUGAGAUCCAGCUAAUGGACCCACCCAAGACUAACAAGAAGAGAGGCAGCGAGCGCAAUGCAGUCCCACCACCCAAGCCUGAGUACCUCCGCUUCGAGGACAUCAGUGCUGCAGCCUUCAAAAUCCAGUCAGCGAUGCAGAAGACCCCUUGUACGUAUUCCAGACUGUCCAAACAGUAUGGCAUGGAGAUCUUCCUAAAGAAGGAGCUCCUCCACUACACAGGCUCCGUAAAGGAGAGAGGCGUUUUAUACCUACUCACCUCCCUCAACCAGGAGCAGCAGAAGAAGGGGGUGAUCGUAGCUAAAGACUGUAGUUUCUCCAUGGCCGUGGCUCACCAUGCGGUGGAGUUGAGGAUCCCAGUGUUUGUCAUCAUGCCAGCCAGCUGUGCCCAGCCCCACCUCAGGGUGUACCGAGACUACGGCGCCAUGGUCAUCUCCUAUGGUAGUACCGCCAGGGACUCCCUGAACCACGCCCGCCACCUGGCCAAGGAGAACGGAUACCUCUGCCUGGAAGAGGAUGAUAGUGCUGUGUACUUAGCAGGGCUGGGCACAGUAGGCAUGGAGAUCUAUGAGCAGGUGCCCAAACUAGAUGCAGUCAUUGUGCCCACAGGUGGGCAGUGUAGUCUACUGGUCAGCACAGCAGCAGCCAUCAAACACCUCAACUCACGCAUCACUGUCAUAGGAGUUGAACCAGAAGGAUUCCCGCUGCUACUACAGUCCCUCAAAACAGGCAGCCCAGUGGCUAGUGAACUUUACAACGUCCCCAACAGGAAGCUUUAUGGAGAUCUAUUUGAGCACUCACUGGGGACCCACACCUUCCAGUUGGCUAAGAAAUAUGUGGACAAAGUCGUUACUGUCAGAGAAGAGGACUCUCUGGUAGCCAUGCUGAGGUUCCAGGAGUUUGAACGCUCCACAGUGGACACAGAGGGAGCCAUGGGACUAGCGGCCAUCUUGGCUGGGCAACUACCAGAGCUAAAGGGCAAAAGGGUAGCUGUGGUGGUCAGCAGUGCUAACAUGGAGUUGGACCUGAUCAGACAGUGUGUUGACCGCGCCCUGGUUCUGGAUGACCGAGUCAGCAAGUUUACAGUGCAGCUGGGGGACUUUCCGGGGGACAUGGCCAAGCUACUGGACAUGCUGGCAAGAGAGGACAUCAAGCUGUUGGAUAUUUGCCACCGGAGACACAGUGACAAAGGCGAUCUCUUCAAGGCCCAGAAAUAAAUUGACUACAUAUUAUGUCAAUCUGCUGUUGGCAGGACAGAUGCUACAACCACAUAGCAAUGGUGGAGUGUGUAGUGGAGACCAGGGAUAAGACACAGAGCACUCAGCUCCGCAGGAUACUGUCUGAGCGCUACCCCACACGACACUGGCUGGACCGGUGAUUAACACUUGUCAUGGCUCUCAAUCUGACCAUCCACACACACACACAUGUACAGUACCAGUCAAAAGUUGACACACCUACUCAUUCAAGGGUUUUUAUUUAUUUGUACUAUUUUCUACAUUGUAAAAUAAUAGUGAAUACAU